rnacentral:lncRNA from 1 species
CCUCUUUCACAUUUCACUUUGUUCUUCACUUUCUUCCUCUUCCGUGUUAUUCUUCUCCUUCAUCUUUAUACGCUCCCUUUCUAUUCUCCUUCAUUCUCCAGUGGCAUGCGCAUCCUCUUUUACCUUCUCUUCCACCGUUCGUCACUUUUGCAACUCUUUUCACAGUGGUGGGUUUAGGGAUUGGUGACCAAAGGUAAUAUAUUUUGUAUUCAUUUCUUUAUUAAGUGAAACAUUUAUGUCGUGUGAUUUGUGUUAGGUGAUCCGUGUUAUUUGUCAUGUGUUACUUUGUUUGUGUAACUAUGUAUGCUUUUUUAGUAUUUUUUUUUCUCCAAAAAAAGACAUUUUCUUGUUGGGGUGGGGCAUGAUGUAGUGAGAAAGUGAGGUAAAUCAGGUUUUUAGAGGCCAAGAGUGUAGGGCUAUGUCAAGGAAGCACAAAAUUCAUUGAACUUAGAGGGUGACGGUAUGUGGUGACCCCAUUAGACUUCCUGUAGAGACAGUGAAAUUUUUUCUAGAAAUGUGAAUGGAGUGUUCGUGUUGGGUGGGGUGGACAUGAUGUGGGGAGAAAGUGAUUUAAAUCAGGUUUUUAGAGGCCAUGAGUUUAAGGCACUGUCAAGUAAGCACAAAAUUCACUCAAUUUAGAGAGUGAUAGUAUCUGGUGACCCUAGUACGAAUAUAUGGUGACCCUCAUUACACUUCCUGCACAAACCCAUAGAAAAUUUUUCUGGAAAUCUGAAGUAAGUGUUCGUGUUGGUUGGGGUGGAGCAUGAGGUGGGGAGGCCUAAGAAUGGAUACAAUAACAUUAUUUAUUAUUAGAUAUUAUUCAGAGUUAUAUAUAAUUUGAAAUCGUUAAGUUCUUCAACAACAUACAUAUUAACCCACUUUCUCUGCACCUCAUGCCCCUCCCCAACCAACAUCAACACUCACUUGACAUUUCCAGUAAAGGUUUCCAUGGUUCUGUGCAGGAAAUGUAAUGUGGGUCACCACAUAUUCCCUCUAGUAUCACCACAUACUACCACUCUCUAUGUUGAGUGAAUUUUGUGGUUACUUCGCACUUUCCUAUUCUUAUGGCUUCUAAAGAACUCAUUUAAUCCAUUUUCUCCUCAUUUCAUGGCCCACCCCAACCAACACGAACACUGACUUCCCAUUUCCAGUAAAAGUUUCCUUGGGUCUGUGCAGGAAGUGUAAUAUGGGUCACCACAUAUUCCCUCUAGGGUCACCACAUGCUGCCACUCUCUGAGUUGAGUGAAUUUUGUGGUUACUUAACAAUUUCCUACUCUCAUGGCCUCCAAAGAACUCAUUUAACCCACUUUCUCCCCUCCUCAUGCCCCACCCCAACCAAUAUGAACUCACUUUUUUCCAGAAAAAGUUUCCCUGGGUCUGUGCAGGAAGUGUAUGUUGGUCACUACUCUAGGGUCAUCACAUAGUAUCACUCUCUAAGUUGAGUUUCGUGGUUACUUCCCACUGUCCUACUCUCAUGGCCUCUAAAGAACUCAUUUAACCCACUUUCUCCCCACCUCAUGCCCCACCCCAACCAACACGAACAAUCACUUCCUAUUUCCAGAAAAAGUUUCCCUGGGUUUGUGCAGGAAGUGUAAUGUGUGACACCACAUAUUCCAUCUAGGGUCACUAUACACUAUCACUCUCUAUGUUGAGUGAAUUUUGUGGUUAUUUCACACUAUCCUACUCUCAUGGCCUCUAAAGAAUUCAUUUAACCCACUUUUUCCACACCUCAUGCCCCACCCCAACCAACACGAACACUAACACUCUCUUUUUACCUUUCUAAUCCAUGUCAAGAUUAAAGAAUUUUCUUAAAAAUUUUGGUACCUCAUCAACCUAACAUGCCAAAGAAAGACUCUGCAUUAUUUAUACACCAAGACACAUAUAUGCAAUAAUCAGUCACAGGAUUAUCUAUCCAAAGAAAGACUCUACAUUAUUGAUACACCUAGGCACAUAUAUGCAACAAUCACUUACAUGAUUAUCUAUAUCCAGUAUGAAUAUGCAGUGACCUCUCUCUCUUUGUCUAUAUACUCAACAGUGACUGAAUUCACAAUAUCAUAGCUUCUGAAAAGACCUUUUUUGGAGAAAAAAAAUACUAAAAAACCAUGCAUACUUACACAAACUAAGUACACGAAAAUAUAUACUUUUAACAAUAUAUUCCACACAAAAUAAAGUCAUACUCCAGAAAAAUAAGAAAAUAGUAAACACAAACAACUAUGAUCAUAUCAGAUAUAGUUCUUUGUAUAUUGUAAUUCUAACCAAUUCCUUUUCUUUGUGUAUCCUAACAUGCUACUAUGAAAUAAAAUACUACAAUAACAGUGAAAUACAAACCCACAAAGUAACCCAGCAUGAAAUACGAAAAUAUAUUGUCUUAAGAGUGUGUGAAAGAAAUUGACUUUGGGUCAUACAAGAGUCACCACAAGACAAAUAACAGGAAUCACCCAACAACACAAAUCACACAAGAUCAAUGUUUCACUAAAUAAACUAAUGAAUAAAAAAUAUAUUACCUUUGAAAAGUGGAUGUCGAACACGAGAUCAUGAAAACAGAAUGUUGAAGAGGAGACCACCACCCAACCACCGUGAAAAGAAAUGCACCCACUACGACGACGAACUCUAGAAGAGAAAGUUUGCGGAGAAGGUGGAAGAGAAUGUGGAGGUGGAGGACAAGAACAAAGCAACGGGGAAGAAGAACAUAAAAGAGUAUUCAGUCCCAAUUUGUUCAAACCUAAAUUCACAUUCUAAAAUACCCAAAUUUUAAAUAUUUUCAGAUUAUUUUCAUGGCCCCAUAACAAAAAUAAAAUACUAUUAUUUUUGCCACGUUGAUAUGGUGGAACAACUCAUUUAGAGUUGUACAAAUAUAGGGACUCUUGUGAAAUUGUUUUUCUUUCUUGUGAGUGUAGAGACGAUUAUGAAGUGUUUUUUUGUUUACUACCGAAUUUGAUGUUAUAUUCAAACAAAACCAUCACAAUUCAUAUAUGAUUUUAUUAAAUUUUA